GGACACAGCAGCUGCUGCUGCUGCUGCUACAGAGAGAGAAGCAGCGUGCAAGAAAACAUUAGUGACUUGCCUCAUUUCAUGAAAACGAAAACCCGAAAAAACAUUCAAUAGUAAGGCUUGAGUGGUUAUGAUUUCCUGUACUGUGAAGUAUGCUGAAUAAAAAAGAAAAACCGUAUUAAUCAACUAAUCAAUUCGUCU